rnacentral:rRNA from 1 species
AUUGAACGCUGGCGGCAGGCCUAACACAUGCACGUCGAACGAGUGGCGGACGGGUGAGUAAUUUCUGGGAAACUGCCCAAUGGAGGGGGAUAACUACUGGAAACGGUAGCUAAUACCGCAUACCAUCGGCUUUGCCCAGAUGGGAUUAGCUAGUAGGUGGAGUAACGGCUCACCUAGGCGACGAUCCCUAGCUGGUCUGAUAGAAUGACCAGCCACACUGGAACGUAGAAACGGUCCAGACUCUUCCGGUAGGCAGCAGUGGGGAAUAUUGACCAAUGGGCGCAAGCCUGAUGCAGCUAUGCGGCGUGAAUGAAGAAGGCCUUCGGGUUGUAAAGGACUCUCAGCGAGUAGGCGUUACUCGCAGAAGAAGCACCGGCUAACUCCGUGUCAGCAGCCGCGGUAAUUC